rnacentral:rRNA from 1 species
CAGUAGCCACGGGAAUACGGAGGGAGCUAGCGUUGUUCGGAAUUACUGGGCGUAAAGGGUGCGUAGGCGGUUUGAUAAGUUUGAUGUGAAAUCUCUGGGCUCAACCCAGAGUCUGCAUCGAAAACUGUCGGGCUUGAGUAUGGGAGAGGUGAGUGGAAUUUCCGGUGUAGCGGUGAAAUGCGUAGAUAUCGGAAGGAACACCUGUGGCGAAAGCGGCUCACUGGACCAUUACUGACGCUGAUGCACGAAAGCUAGGGGAGCAAACAGGAUUAGAUACCCCCGUAGUCCCUGUCUCUUAUAC